UAAAAAAAAUUCUUAUUUGUACCUUAAAGUUUUUUGAAAUGACAAAUUCCAUACCGAUACCGGCACCGGAUACGCGCUACCCGUACAUAUACAUCAUAGUCUCUCACCAAAAAAAACACAGCUAACAUCAUGGUGAAAUUUGUACAUCUAUGAAUAAGCUUCGCAAAGUUAACUUUGAGUGGAAACACUCAUUUUUAUGGGUUUUUGUAACCUUGGGUAUUGUCGGAAAUUCAUCAACCAUGUUUCAUCCACCAAUUUUCACUCUCGGUGGCGCCACCCAUGUUCCUUUCUUUACUCCACCACAUCCAAUGCGUCACCACCACCACUUGGUGCCCUUCAUGGCCACUAUUUCAAAAAUGGUUCUCUUCAAAAUACAAACUUGGCUAACUAUCUUUUAUCUCUCCAUGUUAAAUCCAGCAACAUGAACCAUGCCCAUAAGCUGUUUGAUGAAAUUCUCCACAAAGACACUCAAACAUGGACCAUCCUUAUAUCAGGUUUUGCUAGAGCUGGCUCUUCAGAGAUUGUCUUUAGCCUUUUUAGAGAAAUGCAAGCAAAGGGUGCUUGUCCAAAUCAGUAUACAUUGUCUAGUGUUUUCAAGUGUUGUUCAGGUGAAAGCAAUCUUCAAUUGGGUAAAGGAGUCCAUGGGUGGAUUCUCAGGAAUGGGGUUGAUGGAGAUGUUGUGCUGGAGAAUUCUAUUCUUGAUCUUUACUUGAAAUGCAAGGCUUUUGAAUAUGCUGAAUGUUUUUUUGAGUUGAUGGUUGAGAAAGACGUUGUGUCGUGGAAUAUAAUGAUUGGUGCGUAUCUCCGUGAAGGAGAUGUGGAGAAGUCUCUUGACAUGUUUAGGAACUUUCCUUACAAGGAUGUUGUGAGUUGGAAUACUAUCAUAGAUGGGUUGAUGCAAUGUGGUUAUGAAAGAUUAGCUUUGGAACAACUCUAUUCUAUGGUGAAGCAUGGGACUGAAUUCUCUGCAGUCACUUUCUCCAUAGCUCUUAUUUUGGCUUCCUCUUUGUCACUUGUUGAGGUUGGGAGACAAAUUCAUCCGAGGGUCUUAAAAUUUGGCCUCAAUAAUGACGGCUUUAUAAGGAGUUCACUUGUGGAAAUGUAUGGCAAGUGUGGGAAAAUUGAUAAGGCAUCUACAAUUCUCAAAGAUGUACCUUUGAAUUUUUUGAGAAAAGGGAAUUUUGGAGUUACUCGCAUGGAACCUAAGGCAGGAAUAGUUUCAUGGAGUUCAAUGGUUUCCGGUUAUGUUUGGAACGGAAAGUAUGAAGAUGGUAUUAAAACUUUCAUGUCAAUGAUUCGUGAAUUAGUUGUUGUGGAUAUUCGAACUGUUGUAACCAUUAUUUCUACCUGUGCCAAUGCUGGAGCUUUGGAGUUUGGUAAGCAGAUUCAUGCCUACAUUAAAAAAAUUGGGCAUAGAGUGGAUGCUUAUGUUGGUUCGUCGUUAAUUGAUAUGUAUUCUAAAUCCGGUAGCUUGGAUGAUGCUCGGAUGAUUUUCGGGCAAAUCAAUGAACCAAAUGUUGUCCUGUGGACUUCAAUGAUUUCUGGUUGUGCUCUACAUGGUCAAGGAAGGGAAGCAAUUAGUCUUUUUGAAGGAAUGUUGAAUAAGGGUAUCAUCCCAAAUGAGGUUACUUUUGUAGGGGUUUUAAAUGCAUGCAGCCAUGUAGGGCUUAUUGAAGAAGGACGUAGUUAUUUUAGGAUGAUGAAAGAUACUUAUCACAUCAACCCUGAAGUUGAACACUACACCUCUAUGGUCAAUCUUUAUGGUAGAGCAGGUCACUUGAUUGAAGCAAAGAACUUCAUCUUUGAAAAUGGUAUCGCUCACUUGACAUCUGUAUGGACAUCUUUUUUAUCUUCGUGCCGACUUCAUAAAAAUAUUGAGAUGGGAAAAUCGGUUUCCAAAAUGCUACUUCAAAGUGCGCCGUCUGAUCCAGGCGCGUAUGUUUUGCUAUCAAACAUGUGUUCUUCUAAUCAUCGAUGGGAUGAGGCUGCCACGGUAAGGAGUUUAAUGCAUCAAAGAGGUGUUAGAAAGCAACCUGGUCAAUCUUGGAUUCAACUAAAGGAUCAAAUCCACACUUUUGUAGUGGGAGAUAGGUCUCAUCCACAAGACAAGAAAAUAUAUUCAUAUCUUGACUCUUUAAUAGGAAGAUUGAAGGAAAUUGGAUAUUCCUAUGAUGCAAAAUUGGUCAUGCAGGAUGUAGAAGAAGAACAAAGGGAAGUACUGAUUAGUCAUCACAGUGAAAAACUUGCUCUUGUCUUUGGCAUCAUUAACACUUUGCACAGGACUCCAAUUCGAAUUAUGAAGAACAUCCGAAUUUGUACAGAUUGCCAUAACUUCAUCAAGUAUGCAUCUCAGCUUUUAGAACGUCAAAUAAUUGUUAGAGAUACACAUAGGUUCCAUCAUUUUAAGCAGGGUAGUUGCUCUUGUGGAGACUAUUGGUGACAAGAGGCACAAACUUACAGAAGAUGUCCAAAGCAUCAAAAUGGAUCCUAUUGAUUAAAAAACUUGGGUGUAAAAGUUAAUUUUAAUAAAAGAUUUUUAUUGGAUUCAGAUAUGGUGCACCAUAAUGUUUUCCCAAAGCAAGUUGUUUCUCCGAAUGUCCAAGGUGUUAUCGUGAAGGCAGUAGAUGUUGGCAACCAAUUUAAAAACAAGCAAGAGUUUGAAUCUCGUGAUCAAAUGCUUCAAUGAAUUCGUAUGGAAGCCUCUAAACUUGGGUUUGGUGUGGUUAUCAGAAGGUUUGAUAAUGGUUUGGAUAGAAGAUGCACUUUUGUGACAAUGACGUGCGAAAGAAGUGGGAAAUAUAGAACUCCUCUUCAAAAUUUUAAAAGAGACGACAUUGGUUCUAGAAAAUGUGAGUGUCCGUUCAAGGUGUGUGGUUACACGUUGGCAAAAAAAAUGGAGAUUUAAUGUGAUAUGUGGUUUGCAUAACUAUGAUUUGUGUGAAAAAUUAGCUGGCCAUCCUAGUGUGUGUCGGCUCAUACCGGGAGAGAAGGAAUGUGUUGCUGACAUGACCUUGAAUUUGGUUCAACUGAAAAAUAUACUUGCAACAUUGAAACAAAAACGAUCCAAAAAUAUAUCAAAUAUCAAGCAAAUGUAUAAUAUUCGGUAUCUGACUAACAAGGCGCUUAGGGGGGAUAUAACUGAGAUUCAACAACUCCUGAAAUUAUUGGAUGAUAACAGUUACGUGUUUAGGUACCGAACGUGCAAGGAUGAAGUUACUGUUAGAGAUAUAUUUUGGACUCAUCAUGAUUCCAUAAAGUUGUUCAACACGUUUCCUACGGUGCUCAUACUUGAUUCAACCUACAAGACCAAUAAGUAUAGACUUCCAUUAUUGGAGAUGAUUGGUUUUACCUAAACUAAGAAGACAUAUUCUAUUGAGUUUGCAUUUCUUGAGUGUGAAAAAGAGAACAACUUUACUUGGGCGAUAGAGGUGUGCCAGACACUGUUGAAGGAUAAGGUGAGAUGCCUAAAGUGAUGUAACCGACCACGAUACCGCAUUGAUGAAUUCAGUUGCAAAGGUAUUUCCUUCUUCUAAUGCAUUACUUUGUAGGUAUCACAUAAUAAAGAAUGUGAGAAGUCGGGUUAAACAUGUGGUAGGGACAAAACAGAUAGAGUCAGAAGAUGGAAAAAUGGUGAAGGCGAGAGUGGUUGUGGAAAAAAUAAUUGAUGCAUGGAAUCGUAUAGUAAACUCUUCCACAAAAGAACUAUAUGUUGAUUCCGUUAUGCAUUUCAGGAAAGUGUGUAAAAAGGAACUCGCAUUAGCAUACCACCUCCAAUGCCGCCUCUGCCAAAGAUUCCAUUCAUCGACGAGAUGCCAGUAUUUAUGCACAAAUAUAUCGAGCGGAUCAUCAAUGUUGAUGGGGACGAUAAUUGCGGUUACCAAGUCGUUUCGACUUUACUCGAUAAAGGAGAAUAUAGUCAUACACUUGUCAGCCAUCAACUUAUCCAAGAUUUGAAUACGCAUAAAGAAUCAUACACACGGUUGUACGGAAAGAAAGAAUACUUCGACAACGUUUAUGAGUCUCUUGUUCUUUGCCUUAGCGGUCCGGCAUCAGAGGAAAAAUGGAUGUGCUUCUCUAACAUGGGUCACCUAAUAGCAUGUGAGUAUGACUUAGUGUGUAUUGAUCUGACAAGAUACAGUUUUUUUGAAACCUUUUUUUCACUGCGCACGACCCCACCUCAAAAUUCAAAUGAUCGUAUUAUGUGUAUUGAGUGGUUUUCAAAAUCAAGUCAUUUUGUUCAAAUUUACUUGAAAUCGGAAUGCCUUAUACCAAUUACAUCACCAUAAUGGACGGCUCAUUCAACAACAAAAGCUGAGAUUUUCCCGGAUCAUUUUAUAUAAAGGAUGCAAGAGUUCGAGAAAAUAAGCAACAUUGAAAGAGAAUCAAAUGCACAAAAGUUCAAGGGGGUACCACCAAUAGAUUUAGCCAACGACAUAUGUUUCGAUUCGUUUUAAUUUCUAGUUUUACCAGACAAAUAAGUGUACAUAAUUGUGUCU